UUGAAAGGGAAACGAUUGAAGUCAGUCGUACCUGUGGGUAAUCAGCCUUUUGGGUGUGAUUAUGUGGAGUGUGAGGAGCUAAACGCCUUCAUGCCUGCAUAUUCGUGCACUUUGGGUGUAUUUACCCGUGUGGUAAGUUAACAUCAAUUUCGGUGGUCAUAAAAUGGCUGGAGGAAUGUAGCUUCGAUCUUGUAUUGAAGUGUUAUAGCCUUCGGUAGAUGUGAUGAUCGGGAUUGAGGAUUGCAACGGAUACCCCUCGGGGCUACCUGUCUGAUCUCUGAUCGUUGCUCUGGUGCCGAAAGCUUGCUUACGGUUAUCAAAGUCGAUGGUUAAUAGGUUAGAACGGGUUAAAUUCGUUAAGGAUGUUGACGUA
rnacentral:rRNA from 1 species